AUAUUCUGCUGGUUUCAUAGGUCAACCUUACUUAUGGAAGGGGAUUGCAUUAUGGAACGAAAACCAGGAGGUGAUCACUGCUAUCUUAGAGGCUGGCUACUGUUGAUGUCAAAAUCAGCAUCUAUGGCACAGAUGUUCCCUGAAGAUGUCUUGCUCCUGGGGAUUCCUGAAUAUACCAGAGCUGGCCUUUUCUCAAGUAGAGGCUUCACAUUCUUCAUGACUUUGAGAUAAAUUGCUUGUGGCUAUUUUUUGCUUUUACCACUUACAAAGUUA
rnacentral:lncRNA from 10 species